rnacentral:rRNA from 1 species
GGUUAGGAUGAGGUGUGGGUAGGGGUGAAAUUCCAAUCGAACGUGGAGAUAGCUGGUUCUCCCCGAAAUAGCUUUAGGGCUAGCCUCAGGGAAAAGAUUGCAGGCGGUAGAGCACUGAUCAGGAGAGGGACCUACCCGGUUACCAAACCCAGUCAAACUCCGAAUGGCUGCAAUCAUACCUGGGAGUCAGACUGCGACUAAUAAGGGCCGCAGUCAAAAGGGAAACAGCCCAGACCAUCAGCUAAGGUCCCCAAUGCCGUGCUAAGUGGCGAAGGAUGUGGCAUUUCAUAAACAACCAGGAUGUUGGCUCAGAAGCAGCCACCAUUUAAAGAGUGCGUAAUAGCUCACUGGUCGAGAGACGCUGCGCCGAAAAUGUCCGGGGCUCAAGCACGGAACCGAAGCUAUGGCAUGAUAGCAAUAUCAUGGGUAGGGGAGCGUUCUUAUAAGGAAGAAGCAUGACCGGAAGGACAUGUGGACGAAUAAGAAGUGAGAAUGCCGGUAUGAGUAUCGAAAAGAAAGGUGAGAAUCCUUUCCACCGAAAGCCCGAGGGUUCCUGAGCAACGAUCGUCGACUCAGGGUAAGUCGGGACCUAAGCCGAGGCGAGAAGCGUAGGCGAUGGACAACAGGUUGAAAUUCCUGUACCGGAUCAAGUCGAUUGAGCGAAGGAGCGACGCAGGAGGGCACAUGAUCGCGCGGCUGGAAGAGCGCGUCCAAGUGCGUAUGUUGCAGCAGAGGAAAACCCCUGCAGCUAAAAGCAGAGACAUGAUGGGGAGUUAAAGGAAACUUUGACGAACUCAUGGAUCCCACACUGCCAAGAAAAACUUCUAGCGAGACAAGAUCCGCCCGUACCGUAAACCGACACAGGUAGGCGGGGAGAGAAUCCUAAGGUGCGCGGGAAAACCCUCGUUAAGGAACUCGGCAAAUUGCAUCCGUAACCUAGGGAGAAGGAUGGCCCCCGGUCAGUGAAGAGCAGAAACGCUCAGAGCUAAAAGGGGCGGCAGAAAAGAGGCCCAAGCAACUGUUUACCAAAAACACAGGUGCCUGCGAAAGCGAAAGCUGAAGUAUAGGUGCUGACGCCUGCCCGGUGCCGGAAGGUUAAGGAGAGAAGUUAGCGAAAGCGAAGCAUCGAACUGAAGCCCCGGUGAACGGCGGCCGUAACUAUAACGGUCCUAAGGUAGCGAAAUUCCUUGUC